GGUAGGUUAGCUCAGUAGGUAGAGCUUAGGGCUUGUGACCAGAAGGUCCCGGGUUCGAAUCUCGCCAGAGGUGGCU
rnacentral:tRNA from 1 species